GACCACCCUCCGGGGUUAAGGCCAUACGGACAGCCGGGUCUAAUGCCGA
rnacentral:sRNA from 1 species